rnacentral:lncRNA from 1 species
AUGGAGGGCUUGCAAGUUGCCCAAGAAAGGCAGAAAACGUGGCGGCAGAUAGCAGAGAGUGCUAUGCUUGAGGGAGACUGAGAGUUUGCCGCGAGUGUUGUGCAUGAGGCUUUUCCGGCUAUUUACUCCCAGCCAGAUGCGCAAGGGACUAUUACCGUUACUCUUACAAACUUGGAUUGGAAGCUGUUAACUCAGCUGCGAUCCACGGUGAAUGAGUCGGGAUUAAAAGGGGAACCUACAAGACAAAUGUUGGACUAUAUCUGGGGUACUAAUAUCUUACUCCUGGGCGACAUACACAGUAUAACAAAGUUAAUCCUGACUCAACAUCAACAGCUAUUAUUUAAUGCGCACUGGCAGGCCGUCUGUCAGGAGUCAGUAGCCGUGGUCAGGGCACCGGGGGACCCGCUACACGGGGUCACUGUUCAGGAGUUGAUGGGUCUAGGGCCUUAUUUUCGAACAGAAGCACAAGCGUUGAUGGGGCCAGAUAAGGCAAAGGAAGCAAUGAGAUUAGCUAGAAUAGCUCUCGACCGCAUAAGAGAGCCUGGAGGAAUCCCUUCAUAUAUGGGUAUCAAGCAAGGAAGAGAGGAGCCAUUUGGUUUGUUUAUCGAUCGAGUAGCAAACGCCAUACAGGCGGCCGGGGUGCCCGAGUAUCUCAAAGGCACUAUACUAAAGCAGUGUGCUAUACAAAAUUGUAAUCCGGCCACGUGUAACAAUUUAGCUACAUUGCCAGGGACAUGGACUAUCGAGGAAGGACUAGAAAGAAUGGCACAGGUACCGAUGGGGCCACAGGCAAUGUUAGUUGAGGCAGUAAAGGAGCUAGGGAAUAGUUUAAAGGAACAUGCGCAGGCUACGCAGAGUCAGGUUUUAGCAGCCCUUGCUCCUUUGACCUGGCGGUCAAAUGCCCGCGGCCCACCUCAUUUGCGGUGCUACCGUUGCGGCGUCACCGGACACGAGGCGGAACUGCAAUGCCAGCUCCGUGUGGUGCAAGAACUGUCGAUCGGAUACUCACAACGAAGCUGCCUGUCGUCGACCUGGAUCGGGAAACGGACGACUCAGCGG